AGAAACUACCUAACAGUUUCAAUCCAGAAAUGCAAGCAGACAAGUCUCAUCCUGGCUAAAGCACGAAGGCAAAUCCAGGGACUUUAUCCCUGAGAUCUGGUAAGGCAAGGUAGUCUCAGUUCCUUCUAGGGACCCCUAUUUGUUUUCACCUACUGGGAAGAAGCCAAUCCAAUGUAAAGACAAAAAGCAGGCAACAAUUCCGUUGGGAAAGUUGGAGGUAAGUGGUGUACUACGCUAUCCUGUCAAGGAUAAGGGCUAGCACGCGUUAAUGCUCAAAUCACUAUAGUACUUUCUCCAGAAUUGUGCUUUGCCUAACUCCACACUCAAUAAUGAACUCAAUAAUGUUUGAAAUAUCAUUUUUUAGGAAUUAAUAAAUUUACAAAAAAGCUUCGGAGUCCAUAUGCAAUUGAUAACAAUGAACUACUUGACUUCCUUUCCAGAGUUCCUUCAGAUGUACAAGUGGUGCAAUAUCAAGAACUGAAACCAGAUCAUUCUCAUAGCCCGUAUAAAAGGAAGAAAAACAACCUUGGUUAGUCUGUUCCCAGCACCGAGGAGACCAGCAUGUUUGGGAAGAUAAAAGAAAAAAAAAUCGUCGGGCUACGCAGCAUUUCCUCUCUUUCUGCUUUUUAUUUAUUUUACCUUUUUAUCAGGGUCAAGAACAUUUGUAAAUAGUGUACAAAAGGCAUAUGUCUUUGAAAAUAUACUUCUCCUGUACAGACUCAACUUGAUAAGGGAUUUUAGC
rnacentral:lncRNA from 1 species